rnacentral:rRNA from 1 species
AACGCGAAGAACCUUACCCAGACUUGACAUGUAAUAGACCGAUCUAGAAAUAGGUCUUUCCUUCGGGACUGUUACACAGGUGCUGCAUGGCUGUCGUCAGCUCGUGCCGUGAGGUGUUGGGUUAAGUCCCGCAACGAGCGCAACCCUUAUCAUUAGUUGCCAACAUUUAAGGUGGGAACUCUAAUGAGACUGCCUGGGUUAACCAGGAGGAAGGUGAGGAUGACGUCAAGUCCGCAUGGCCCUUAUGUCUGGGGCUACACACGUGCUACAAUGGUCGGUACAGAAGGCAGCGAAGCCGCGAGGUGGAGCAAAUCCAAAAAACCGGCCUCAGUUCAGAUUGUAGUCUGCAACUCGACUACAUGAAGACGGAAUUGCUAGUAAUGGCGAGUCAGCAACAUCGCCGUGAAUACGUUCCCGGGCCUUGUACACACCGACGCGUA